AGUCUUAUAUUCAAAAAUGAUAUUAAAUUGCAAAUUUAAAGGUAAACUAAGUUUUAAGGCUU
rnacentral:tRNA from 1 species